AGCGGGGUAGGGCAGCCAGGUAGCCCGCGGGAGAUCUAACCCCGAGGUCCCCGGUUCAAAUCCGGGCCCCGCUACCA
rnacentral:tRNA from 1 species